rnacentral:tmRNA from 1 species
GGGGCUGACCGGUUUUGACAGUAGGUGUAAGGACUGGGCUCGCAUGCAGGCCGGAGUAUGUACGGCCUUGAAUAAUUCAUACGAACAUAACUGGCGAAACUUCUUACGCCAUGGCUGCAUAAUCUAACCCUUCGGGGACAAGAUAACGCUUAAAGGGUUGAGCCUCGAUAGAUGCUCCCCGGCCACAUCCCGCAACCCCCCGUCCUUUCGGGGUUGAAUCUGGGGUGUCGAAAUGAUCGGACUAGUAUCGGCAAUGCUACUAAGCCGGUGCGAAAUCUAAGUAGCUAAGCAGUGGAUAGGUGUGUCAUCCAGCAGUAUACUGACGAAAACCCAACAGAUGACUAAGCAUGUAGACGGUACGGUGUUUCCCUAUCUGGACGCGGGUUCGAAUCCCGCCAGCUCCACAA